GUAACACUCUCUAUAUAGGUCUAUAUUUCGAAUUCUUCUCAUUAACAUUGGUUUCAAUCAUAUAUGUGCAGGGAAUAUUAGACAAGAGGAUUUACACAGAUGGGGACCUCUUGGCUCGUAGUUUUUGGCACUUUAGUCAUCGCUUCUGAGCUGUGCCAGGGCUCUGCUCCGAUUGGUGCGUGGAUACACCGCCCCGACGUGACUGGUUCCAGCUGGAGGACCCGCCCAUUAAAAGGAGGCUGGAGUGCUACGGCGGGAGAGGUCCUCGCGUUUCUCCUCAUUACCCAGCAGUGUAACUGUGGCAGCCGCUGGCUGCAGUGCGGCUUGAAAGUGUUGGAAGUGGAGUGGGUAGGGGUGAGCUGCCGUUUCUUUUGAUC
ensembl:lncRNA